GCUUAACGCGAAGAACCUUACCAGGCCUUGACAUCCCGGUCGCGGCUUUCCGAAAGGAGAGCUUUCAGUUCGGCUGGACCGGUGACAGGUGCUGCAUGGCUGUCGUCAGCUCGUGUCGUGAGAUGUUGGGUUGAGUCCCGCAACGAGCGCAACCCCUUUUAUCAGUUGCCAACAGGUAAUGCUGGGAACUCUGAUGAUACUGCCGGUGAUAAGCCGGAGGAAGGCGGGGAUGACGUCAAGUCCUCAUGGCCCUUACGGUCUGGGCUACACACGUACUACAAUGGCGAUGACAAUGGGCAGCAAAACAGCGAUGUUGAGCAAAUCCUAAAAAAUCGCCUCAGUUCAGAUUGUUCUCUGCAACUCGAGAACAUGAAGUCGGAAUCGCUAGUAAUCGUGGAUCAGAAUGCCACGGUGAAUACGUUCCCGGGUCUUGUACACACCG
rnacentral:rRNA from 1 species